rnacentral:rRNA from 1 species
UACAGAGGAGCCAAGCGUUGUCCGGAUUGACUGGGCGUAAAGCGCACGCAGGCGGACGCGCGCGUGGGGUGUGAAAUCUGGCCGCUUAACGGCCAGGCGCCAUCCCAUACGGCGCGUCUGGAGUGAUGCAGAGGUCGAUGGAAUUGCCGGUGUAGUGGUGAAAUGCGUAGAGAUCGGCAGGAACCCCCAGGGGGAAACCAGUCGACUGGGCAUCUACUGACGCUGAGGUGCGAGAGCGUGGGGAGCAAACAGG